rnacentral:lncRNA from 1 species
CUCAUGAUCACACAUCUAUUGGGCACACAGUUUGAUUCUCAAAAUACAUGUUUCCAUGGAACCUAACAACAGACAGGAAGCCUGGGGGAUAGUCUGUUGCUAUCUAUCACUGUUGCUAAGGGCAGGAUGAGUGGGUAGAAUCAACAUGACCGAGAUAUAGGUUAAGGAAUUCAGAGCAAAGAUUUGCCAGAAGUUUUUAUGCCUAGAAAAGAGGGUCCUAUCUAAGUGAGUAUUUAAGAAUCCUUAGGUUUAAUUUUGUAAGUGGGCUCUCCUAGUAAUAUCCUGGGGGGACACAGUGAGAUAUCUAUAUUAACCCUGCAAGCAUGUUGCUCUCAUCUAUUUUUCCUGGAGCUAUAUAAGAAUAAUAAUCACAGCAAUUUCAAUAAUAAGGGGAUGUUAAAAAUGAAAGUCACUUAGGGGGGUUUCAGUGGGUGGUUUCUAUCCUUACUGGGUGCUGCUUUGCAGGCCCCAGUUUCCACGUAGACCAUUUCAAACAGUAUGUUCUUUGAUGGCUCCCGGCAUCUCCCCAUUUUUUGUUUUUUAAGUGGAGUGACUUCAAUUCAUCUUGGGCUUGUUGUAGAGUAGAACCUAGCUGAUGACUGUUAUGCGACAUUCUACAAUUUGAUUGGAUAUUACCAAAUCACAGAAUUCUGUGAUCAUUUGCUAGGUUUCUACAACACUCUGUGAUAGAUUUGAUUAAUGUGAAUAAAGCCAUUUGUAGGUUAGUACCCUUUGACCUGCUGAGAGGAUCAUUGUGCUUUUGGUCAGCUUUCACUAUUAAUCAUAAUUGCUUGGGAGAUGAACAACAAAACAUCUUUGUAUCUAGGUGUGAGAACUUAAAGCAGACCAGUUUUGGAGUUUUCCUCAACUUACAAGUUCUGUUUUUCUUGUGUCACUUUGAAGUGCCUAGCAAUGCCGCUUGGCUUCUGUUUCAACAAGUUCAUUGGAGUGAGAAAUAUAUUGAGUAUUUACUAUCUAAAAGAAAUUGAGUAAACAAAGAGAAAGAGAGAGAUGAUAUAGUCCUUUUCCUCAAGAAUCUUAUAUUCUAUUGGGGGAAGCAGGCAGGAAAUUAUAUAGCAUAAACACAGGUAAGUAAAAGAGAAGGAGAGGAACUAGAUAUAUAAUUUCAUUGGCAUGAGAAAUAACCAAUAAGCAAAUUCCCUUUAAAAAUUCAGGAUAGCAACUUCUUUGCAAUUUGUAGAAAGCUUAAUAUGAGAUGGAGAAAGCAAAAAAUGAGGGGAAUCCAGAAAUACUUCAAUUAUGGGUAGAACAUGAACUAAGCUUUGAUGAUAAGAAUCCUGAGAAGUAAAGGUGAGAAAGGAGUAGAAGAUACUUCUUGCAAAUACAAAGACAGGAAACGGAAUGCCAUGUUUAUGAAACAUCUAGCAGAGCAAUUUGGCUGAAUAGAGAAUGAGAGAGAUGCAAAAUAAGCAUAGAAAAUAAGUUUGCAAACAUAUUGUUGAGAGUUUUAAAUAUCAAGUGAUGUAAAAUAAGAAUAGAAAUCAGUUUGCAACUGUAUUGGGAGAGUUUAAAAUAUUAAACUAAAGUCUUGGAUUUAGAGUUAUAAGAGAUCUAAGAGGUCAUCUAGUUCAACUUUUUCAUUACAGAGAU